CCCUUAGACGUUCUGGGCCGCACGCGCGCUACACUGACCAGUGCAACAAGCAUCCGUCCUUGGCCGACAGGCUCGGGCAAUCUUUGAACGCUGGUCGUGAUGGGGAUAGACUUUUGCAAUUUUUGGUCUUCAACGAGGAAUUCCUAGUAAGCGCAAGUCAUCAGCUUGCGUUGAUUACGUCCCUGCCCUUUGUACACACCGCCCGUCGCUCCUACCGAUUGAAUGGUCCGGUGAAGCGUUCGGACCGUGGCCUUUGGACGGUUCGCCGUCUGUUGGCUGCGGGAAGUUCGUUAAACCUUAUCAUUUAGAGGAAGGAGAANUCGUANCA
rnacentral:rRNA from 1 species